ensembl:snoRNA
AGCACUUUGAGUGUGUUUGUACAACUGGUGGAUGAAGGCAUGAAAGACAGGUGCAAAAAUAAACUCUUUUGCAACCCAGAACUCACUGUUUGGUGAGAGUUUUGAUACAUAAAGAAGAAUGUG